rnacentral:rRNA from 1 species
UGUGGAAUUCGCCCUUGUGCCAGCCGCCGCGGUAAUACGUAGGUGGCAAGCGUUGUCCGGAAUUAUUGGGCGUAAAGGGCUCGCAGGCGGUUUCUUAAGUCUGAUGUGAAAGCCCCCGGCUCAACCGGGGAGGGUCAUUGGAAACUGGGGAACUUGAGUGCAGAAGAGGAGAGUGGAAUUCCACGUGUAGCGGUGAAAUGCGUAGAGAUGUGGAGGAACACCAGUGGCGAAGGCGACUCUCUGGUCUGUAACUGACGCUGAGGAGCGAAAGCGUGGGGAGCGAACAGGAUUAGAUACCCUGGUAGUCCACGCCGUAAACGAUGAGUGCUAAGUGUUAGGGGGUUUCCGCCCCUUAGUGCUGCAGCUAACGCAUUAAGCACUCCGCCUGGGGAGUACGGUCGCAAGACUGAAACUCAAAGGAAUUGACGGGGGCCCGCACAAGCGGUGGAGCAUGUGGUUUAAUUCGAAGCAACGCGAAGAACCUUACCAGGUCUUGACAUCCUCUGACAAUCCUAGAGAUAGGACGUCCCCUUCGGGGGCAGAGUGACAGGUGGUGCAUGGUUGUCGUCAGCUCGUGUCGUGAGAUGUUGGGUUAAGUCCCGCAACGAGCGCAACCCUUGAUCUUAGUUGCCAGCAUUCAGUUGGGCACUCUAAGGUGACUGCCGGUGACAAACCGGAGGAAGGUGGGGAUGACGUCAAAUCAUCAUGCCCCUUAUGACCUGGGCUACACACGUGCUACAAUGGACAGAACAAAGGGCAGCGAAACCGCGAGGUUAAGCCAAUCCCACAAAUCUGUUC